CUCAGUUCUACAAAGCAGCCAGGAGAAAUAAAUAAGGAAAGUUGAAAGGACAGAUAGAUAAGGAGGAAAAGGACGACUUGGCAGCGCCCGAUUCCCAGCACGCUUUCUGCCGGCUUUCUCCUCCUCCAGCAGCUCUCAUGCCUUGAGUAUGCAUCACCUGAUGGGGUGUGAGAAUAUCUGAGGUCAAAGUUUCAAGGCCUAACUGCCGCACAUGAGCUGGACACCCGUGGGCUGUCUUCACGCUGCUGAUAAAGACAUACCCAAGACUGGACAAUUUCAAAAGAAAGAGCUCUCAGUUCCACGUGGCAGGAGAGGCCUCACAAUCAUGGCAGGAGGUGAAAGAUACAUCUCACAUGGUGGUGGACAAGAGAGAAUGAGACCCAAGGGAAAGGGGAAACCCUUAAAAAUCAUCAGAUCUCAUGAGACUUAUUCACUACCACGGUAACAGUAUGGGGGGAACUGCCCUCAUAAUUCAAUUAUCUCCCACCAGGUUCCUCCCACAACAUUUGCUAACUGUGGAAGCUACAAUUAGAAAUGAGAUUUGGGUAGGGACACAGCCAAACCAUCUCAGCCUUCUAGGAGCUCACUGCUGCCUUGAUACAUGGGUUGAGGUGCCAACCCAGCUGGAACCAACAAGGAAGACUUCCUGGGGUAGUGAUGCCUGAAGAAGGUCCUGGCUCCUGAGGAUGAUGGCAGUGGCUGGGGGAGGGACUGCAUUGGGCAGUCUGGGCAGAGGACACUGCCUGCUAAGGCCUGGAGCUGGCAAUGCACGCUAACUGGUGAGGGGACUUGCCUGAACUCCAUGUUGGCAUGAGAAUGAACUUCCAGCUUUUAUUUUUCACAUUUGGAUUGUGAACUCACCAGGAAUUUAUGUGUAUGUUGUGAAGUCCUAACUUUUUCUGAAAUGGAGAGCCAACUGUUCCAAGAUCAACCAAAGAAUCAUUCAACCUUGCCCUGUGAACUUUCGAUGCUCUCUUCAUAUGUGUCCGCCACUUUCCUGAGUGCUUUCAGACCCUUUCUCUGCUCCCCUGAGACUUACUUUGUUUACAGGAAACUGACUGCUCAGGCUCCCUGUCCUCUGGCUUCUAGGUAGGUUUGGCCAAUGGGCAGCACUGAGAUGGACUGGAGGGUGAAAACAGGAGACGUCAGGGCAUUUCUCCCUCAAUUCUUCAUGCCUCUGGUGACGUUUCCAGCAGCAGCCACGAGUUCUCUGUGGCUCCAGCUCCCGCUAGCCUGGCUUCCCGCUGCCUUCGCUCCUGAGUGCUAGAACACUGCCACUUCCCUUUGGCUCUCUAGCUCUAGCAGUGAUAAGCAGGUUCUGGUGGUUGCUAAUUGCUGGGUUGCCUCACUGUCCAAUUAAGUUUCUUCGUUUUUUUCAGCCCUUGUAUAACCAAUUCCCUGAAUUAAAUUCCCUCUGUAAGAAAUGCCUAGAAAUGCAGAAAGGCACAACUACAGGUGUGCUCUACCACAUCUGGCUAAUUUUUCAUGUUUUUGUAGAGACAGGGUCUCAUCAUGCUGCCCAGGCUGGUCUCAGAUCCCGGCCUUAAGCAAUCCUUCCACUUCUCAUCCUAAAGCACUGGUUGGUAUUAUAGACAUGAGCCUCUGUGCCUGGCCUUUUCAUACGUUUAUUGAUCUACUUAUCUAACCCUGUAUCAGACCGUCUUAAUUACUUUUGUUUUAAUAUAUGCUUGUAUAUGUGACAUUAUGAAUCUUAUUCCCUUUCUCACAUCAUUAUUUUUCUUCUGUUUUUUUUUUUUUUUUUUUUUUUUUAGCUGUUAUCAUGUGCCUAGUCCUCUGGCUUCCUUUUGUGAUAGUAACUUGAAUUCUUGAAUUCCAGAAUUCAAGUUACUUCCAGACAAUUCCACUGGAAUUCUGAUUUAAAGCAUUACAUAUUGUGGAUUCAUUUGAAAGAAUAUAUUCAUAAGGAACAUAUUUCUCUCCACUUAGCUCUGUUAAAAUGUCCUUCAGUUAGAAUUUUUUAACUUUUUCAUUAAGGUUUAGAACAUAACUUUAUUCCUAGGUAUUUUUCAGUUUUGCCACAAUAGAAAAUGAGAUCUUAUGAAUUAUUACAUCUCUCCUAAUUUUUGAAUGACCAGGUAUACAAAGCUGCUGACUUUAGGAUAUUUCUGCCUCUGACCACUUUGUACAACUCUCUUACCAGUUGGAAUUCACUUGGAUUUUAAGAAGAGAAUCACAUGAAUUUUGUUUCUUCCUUUUCAAUAGUUAUUCCUAAUUUUGUUUUCUUGGCUUAUUGCAUUGAUAAGAUCUCCAGAAUGAUAUUAAAUAUUAGCAGUUAUCCUUGUCUUAUUUCUGAAGUUUAUAUAUUUCUAGUGUUUCACCAUUAAAUGUCAGUUCCUGACAAAUUCUACUUAUCAGGUUAGACAGUCCUACUCUUAGCUUACUAGAAAUCCUGAAAGAUUAGCCUGCCUUAUUCUCAGCAAAAUCUGCGCUGUUCCUAAGUGAACACUGCUUCCUUUACGAAGUGCUUACAAAAAACUCUGUUCUCAAAUUUUCUUCAGUAUUGCAAUGCAGCUUAUCAGCCUAGUUUUUGGAAUUCAUUUUCCAAGAAACUGUCCAUCUACUUGUCUGGCAUUUUCCCAAGACUCCAUACCUUUUCAAAGGGUACUGAUGCUGACCCAGCAAUGACAAGUGCAGAUUUUCUCCGUGUUUUGGGAGACCAUUUUCCUGAGCCUAGAGACUUGAGCUAAUCAAAAAGCAGUAAAAUAUUUUCUGACUACUGUUUCUCUGAUCUUGGACUUUAGUUUUCUUCUGUUUGUUCUUUUUACUCUCUGCAGUUAGUAUAGUGACUAGCUUCCUUGUUGAAAAAGAAAAAAAGCAAAAUGAAAGUCAAGUAGCUCUGAUUCUGCUGGUUAGUCUCACAUACUAUCCUCAAAAAUGGCUGUUACCAAUUGCUCAUGUUUUUGCUCCAACCGAAGUGGGCGUCUACAAAACUUUGGAGUCCUCAAAAUAUGUUCUGUGUCCCUUUGUUUUGGAUCAUAUGUUCCAUCUUCUUACUCUUUAAAAUACUAUUACAAAUUGUGGGUUAAUGUGAGAGGCUCAUAAAGCCUUUCUCUUUUGGAUUAUCUAUGCUUUCUAAAUUCACAGCCCAUGUAAAAAAUAUUCCUGUUUAUUUUCUUUGACAUUUUGAAAUUUGGUUUUCUAAAGAAAAAAAUAUAUAUGAUGUGAUUAUUUCCCAUUGCGUGCCUGUUUCAAAACAUCUCAUAUACCCAAUAUGUACCUACUAUGUACCCACAAAAAUUAAUUUAAAAAAAGAAUACCAACAACAAGAUAAAGAAUAUAUGGAGAACUGGCUGGGCGUGGUGGCUCACACCUGUAAUUCCAGCACUUUGGGAGGCCAAGCGGGGGUGGAUCACAUGAGGUCAGGAGUUCAAGACCAGCCUGGCUAACAUGGAGAAACCUCGUCUCUACUAAAAAUACAAAAUUAGCCAGGUGUGGUAAUUUUGGUAAUCCAAAGUUCCGGCAACCCCAGCUACUUGGGAGGCUGAGGCAGAAGAAUUGCCUGAAGCUGGGAAGUGGAGGUUGCGGUGAGCCGGCAUCAUGCCAUUGUAGGCCAGCCUGGGCAACAAGAGCAAAACUUCAUCUCAAAAAAAUAAAAAGAAUAUAUGUGGAGAAUUAA